GACGGAGGAUGCAAGCGUUAUCCGGAUUCAUUGGGCUUAAAGGGAGCGUAGGCGGCCUUGUAAGUCAGUGGUGAAAUCUCUCGGCUUAACUGAGAAACUGCCAUUGAUACUGCAGGGCUUGAGUACAGUUGCCGUUGGCGGAAUAUGACAUGUAGUGGUGAAAUACAUAGAGAUGUCAUAGAACACCGAUUGCGAAGGCAGCUAACGAAACUGUAACUGACGCUGAGGCUCGAAAGUGUGGGGAUCAAACAGG
rnacentral:rRNA from 1 species